GCAAACUUGGUCAUUUAGAGGAAGUAAAAGUCGUAACAAGGUUUCCGUAGGUGAACCUGCGGAAGGAUCAUUAUUGAAUAAACUUGGCUUAGGCUGUUGCUGGCUUAUCUGGGCAUGUGCACGUCUAUUCCGACUUUAUAACCACCUGUGCACUUUUAUGUAGAUCUGAAUACCAGUCGAGGCAAACUCGGUUUUGAAGGAUUGCAGUGUUUAUUAUUAUCUGCUUCCCAUCAUAUUUCAGAUCUACAUUUCAUUAUACACCAUAUAAAGUAUUUGAAUGUUAUAAAUUAGGCAUUUGCCUGUAAACAUAAAUACAACUUUCAACAACGGAUCUCUUGGCUCUCGCAUCGAUGAAGAACGCAGC
rnacentral:misc_RNA from 1 species